rnacentral:rRNA from 1 species
CUACGGGCUGCAGCAGCAAGGAAUAGUAGGCAAUGGGGGAAACCCUGACCUCGCGACGCCGCGUGAGGGAUGAAGGCUUUCGGGUCGUAAACCUCUUUUUUCAGGGAUGAAUAAUGACAGUACCUGAAGAAUAAGUCACGGCUAACUACGUGCCAGCAGCCGCGGUAAAACGUAGGUGGCGAACGUUAUCCGGAUUUACUGGGCGUAAAGAGUGCGUAGGCGGCUUUUCAAGUCGGAUGUACAAUCUCCCGGCCCAACUGGGAGCGACCAUCCGCUACUGUUGGGCUAGAGUGCAUCAGAGGAGAGUGGAAUUCCCGGUGUAGUGGUGGAAUGCGUAGAUAUCGGGAGGAACACCAGUGGCGAAAGCGGCUCUCUGGGAUGUAACUGACGCUGUUGCACGAAAGCGUGGGUAGCAAACAGGAUUAGAUACCCCCGUAGUC